GUGCCCAUAGCUCAAUUGGAUAGAGCGACAGACUACGGAUCUGUAGGUUGGGGGUUCAAGUCCUCCUGGGCACGCCA
rnacentral:tRNA from 2 species